rnacentral:lncRNA from 1 species
AGGUGAAAGGCCACAGCAAACAAAGCAAGAAAUUGGAUAAAAGAAACUUCCAAAAACCGGUCAAGCUUUUGGUGUUGGAGCCUUCCAAAUGAAAAAGAAUGCAUUUUUCAACUGGGAGGAGUGAAAAUAACAAAAACCCUCAGUAUUCGACUUCAAACUCGUCACUUAAACUGAGCAGACUGAACCAACAAAUCCCAAUAUGCGCAUUAGAGAGCCGCCAUUCUCAACGAGUUUUGAGCCGUUCCAUCCAAGGAAUGGAAAAGCAGAUUCAAGAUUCCAGCUGGAGAUCUUUUAAUAGUAGCCGUUCGCGAGAGAACAGUACAGAUCCGAAGCUUGCUGUGUUCUCGUCCAAGAAUUAAAGACGCGGAAAAUUGCAUCAUCUCCUGCCAGAUAAUCUGACUACUUAGGACCGCGAGCGUGAAGAGGUUACUUAAAGGACAGGAUCGGCCCUAGACGAAGUUUACACACCCAAUCCUCCUCCGGUCCUUCCACACACAGAACAGACUAUUGUGAUUCGAUCGUACUUUCUCGGAUCAGCAGCACACGGAGUUUUGAGCUGAAAGCAACUAGUCGUUCCGCUCAGUCGUUCAUCUGGCUGGGACACAGAAGAGGACAUCUGGCGGCCAGAUUUAUCUUCAGUUGUUGGGCGCAGGCUAGGUAGCCGUUUAGCCCCUACCUUCUUCAUGGUUCUUUGUUAGUUGAAGCGUGGCUUCGAGAGUAAGGGACGCCAUUAUCCUUCGAUUGGGGUUUCGAUUCAAUGUUAGCUGUAUAUUUGUUGGCAGAUUGAUUGUUUAGAAUUUGUGAAUUGUGAUGUCUAACAGUUGGAUCGGGUUGGCGGACGAUGGGUGCUUGCAACUAUUUUGGUAACCUUGGCGAAUCUUGAAGCUUAAGAUUUUGAAACCAUGCUGUCCACCAAUUCGUCGACGUCCAGAAAAUGAGUAACAUUUUACAUGUUCAAUGUUCUGAAAGGCACCUUCAAUACCAGGAACUUCAGCCUUCCAAUCGUGCAGUCCUCAUCUCAUUUACCUUGGCUGUGAACGUCAACAUGUACCCUAAUUGAAGGCAAGAAGACGAAUUUUGAUGCUGAAAGACUUGGAAACCAUGCUGUCGACCAUGUCGAGAAGCUGAGUAACAUUCUGCUUUUACAAUGGCACCUCUUAAUAAAAGAAACUUCAGCCAUCCAAUCUAGGGCUUCCAUCAAAUCGUGCAGGCUGCAUGGAAGUCGCAUUUAUCUUUGUUGUGAACAUCAUGCACACAUACACUAUUUGAAGGUUCAUGUUUACGUAGCAGUGGUGUUGCUGUCCAAUGUGGCGUGUUGUUGCAGCCUAUGGUGGUGAAAGAUAUCUGCAUCAAGUUGCUGUUCCCUGUGCAUCCAAGGUGCUGCUUUUUUGCUACAGAAGUGACAUCCAAUAUUGUGUUUAAUUGCUAUUUGUGUCUUCGCGGUUUACCUUUAUAAAUUGAGAAGGAACAAAAAAAAGUAAUACGGGGAGGUUUAUGUCAAACAAAUAAUAAACAUGUCCAGGAUGGGGGAAUGAGGAGGAAAUUGGGGUGGGGUAUUUGGUUAUGAUACUAAAAGAAGUGAGGUAUAUUUUUAAUGAAUAUGCUGUACUUGAUAAAAUCUGUUGUUAACCUAUACUUUCCUGUCAACCCAUACUUUCCACUUACACAUCCACUCCUCAAACUCCAUAAGCACCAACAUCACAUCCUACAUCCAUUCCUAAAACACCACAAUCUCCAACAUCAAAUUUACACAAGUUGUAUAUCUAUAAUCAUAUUUAUAUGAAAUAAAAAGUCAUUAUAUA